UUUUACAUCGUGAAAGGAGGCAAAAUGGGCGAAACAAUUGGAUGCUAAUUAAUAUUUAUGUUCCGGUGAUUUCAUAUACCAAAUUGAACUUCGUAUCAAUAUAGAUGCAUACUGUCAGUCAUUCCAAAAAGUUUACUCAGCGCUCAGUCACUUUCCCUCCAAUAGACCCAUCAUGUUGUCAAAAGCCUUAAAACUCAUCUGUGAAGCUCACAUAUCGUGGAAUACAAAUGUGCGGAGACAAGGUAUUUCCCCAUUCUGCUACCACACCAACCACACCAUGUCAAAUGCCAUACUAAAUUCAUCACCAUUCACCUAUGAUAAAGGAAAUUUACCUCAACCUGAGGAGUAAGGCUGUUGGUUGCUGUGAUUUCCAUUUUACGGUUUUUUUUACAUGAAAACUUCAGUGUACUUAGCACAUAAUAGAUCCUUGAGCCAAUGCUGACCUUUGUCCAUGAAGGAAGAGGGACAUCCAGCAACGUUCUGCUCCAUCCUUAUCGACCAUCCUUACCGACGUACGCUCAUCUAGCUUCACUGCUUUUGCUGCUACAACUUGUUUUACUUCACCGACGAGUUGGAACACUUCAGUGGUCGCUACCCUUUGCUGUUACACACCUGCAGUUACUCACCACGGGAUUAUGCCCAGGUAAUGCAGAGGAAAUUUCGAGAAGAUGGACACCAUAACGUCG
rnacentral:lncRNA from 1 species